rnacentral:rRNA from 1 species
GGGGAAUUUUCCGCAAUGGGCGAAAGCCUGACGGAGCAAUACCGCGUGAGGGAUGACGGCCUAUGGGUUGUAGACCUCUUUUUUCAGGGAGGAAUCAAAUGACGUGUACCUGAAGAAUAAGCAUCGGCUAACUCCGNUGCCAGCAGCCGCGGUAAGACGGAGGAUGCAAGUGUUAUCCGGAAUCACUGGGCGUAAAGCGUCUGUAGGUGGUCCAAUAAGUCAACUGUUAAAUCUUGAGGCUCAACCUCAAAACCGCAGUCGAAACUAUUAGACUAGAGUAUAGUAGGGGUAAAGGGAAUUUCCAGUGGAGCGGUGAAAUGCGUAGAGAUUGGAAAGAACACCGAUGGCGAAGGCACUUUACUGGGCUAUGACUGACACUCAGAGACGAAAGCUAGGGUAGCAAAUGGGAUUAGAUACCCCAGUUAGUC